GAUUGGGAAUUACAUGGUCGAUAAUAGAUAGUGGUACUUGAUGACAGUAGAUAUAUAAAUAACAAUGAAAAUACUUGUGUUUCAGACGGUGAUGACAUUGGGGCGAGUUGAUUGUUAAAACAUGAUGGAUGAAGCGAAUGGAUGAGAUCGUUAAAGUUCAAUUGGGAAUACAAGUAGUUUGACGAUUGUUUUUCGAUAUUGUAGGAUAAGAAGCUGGAAUACUUGAAUUCGAAUCAUGGUGAAUGGAAAAGUUAAAGUUGUAAAAGAUAGAGAUAAUGUUUUGGGAUAUAAAUAAACUAAUGAAAGAAUAAUUCAAGUGAUUGAUAGUAAGUAUAUUCGUAUGUUGUUCAAAUAAAAUAAAGGUCGUUCAUAUAGAGUUGGGAAAAUAAACGAAAGUU